UGGUGGCGACCGGCGCACGGGUGAGUAACGCGUAUGCAACCCACCUAUCAGAGGGGAAUAACCCGGCGAAAGUCGGACUAAUACCGCAUAAAACAGGGGCACCGCAUGGUGAUAUUUGUUAAAGAAAUUCGCUGAUAGAUGGGCAUGCGUUCCAUUAGGUAGUUGGUGAGGUAACGGCUCACCAAGCCGACGAUGGAUAGGGGAACUGAGAGGUUGGUCCCCCACACUGGUACUGAGACACGGACCAGACUCCUACGGGAGGCAGCAGUGAGGAAUAUUGGUCAAUGGGCGAGAGCCUGAACCAGCCAAGUCGCGUGAAGGAAGAAGGAUCUAUGGUUCGUAAACUUCUUUUGCAGGGGAAUAAAGUGCAGGACGUGUCCUGUUUUGUAUGUAUCCUGAGAAUAAGGAUCGGCUAACUCCGUGCCAGCAGCCGCGGUAAUACGGAGGAUCCGAGCGUUAUCCGGAUUUAUUGGGUUUAAAGGGUGCGUAGGUGGUUUGAUAAGUCAGCGGUGAAAGUUUGCAGCUUAACUGUAAAAAUGCCGUUGAAACUGUCGGACUUGAGUGUAAAUGAGGUAGGCGGAAUGCGUGGUGUAGCGGUGAAAUGCUUAGAUAUCACGAAGAACUCCGAUUG
rnacentral:rRNA from 1 species